CGCCGGGAACUGCGCGGCGGGAAUUCGGUGAACCCCGCCAGGACCGGAAGGUAGCAACGGUAAGUCGAAGGACCGUGCGACGCACUCUUCCCGGCAGCC
rnacentral:SRP_RNA from 2 species